rnacentral:rRNA from 1 species
AACGAACGCUGGCGGCAGGCUUAACACAUGCAUGUCGAGCGCCCCGCAAGGGGAGCGGCAGGCGGGCGAGUAACACGUGGGAACAUACCCUUCACUACGGAACAACUCCGGGAAACUGGAGCUAAUACCGUAUGUGCCCUUUGGGGGAAAGAUUUAUCGGUAAAGGAUUGGCCCGCGUUGGCUUAGCUAGUUGGUGGGGUAAAGGCCUACCAAGGCGACGAUCCAUAGCUGGUCUGAGAGGAUGAUCAGCCACAUUGGGACUGAGACACGGCCCAAACGCCUACGGGAGGCAGCAGUGGGGAAUAUUGGACAAUGGGCGCAAGCCUGAUCCAGCCAUGCCGCGUGAGUGAUGAAGGCCUUAGGGUUGUAAAGCUCUUUCACCGAUGAAGAUAAUGACGGUAGUCGGAGAAGAAGCCCCGGCUAACUUCGUGCCAGCCGCCGCCGUAA